GGAGUGAUUUAAAUGUGUACCGCGGGUUUAUUUACGGAAAACCGAAAGACUUUUUUGCAAAAUGUACGACGGACGACCAGAAACCCAAUUUGCUCCCCCGCAAAGGAAUUUAUUUUUUCCCUUCAUUCAAUUUUUCGUUUCAUUUACAGACUCAACCCUGAUCGACAGAAACAUCUAAGAUCAACACGCUGCAUUGAUUAGGGGGCAAGAAGGUAGCACUGGCAGGACCUAUGGGCAAUUCGGGAUGCACUCGUCCAACGUUGGCCAGCAAGGAUAAUCCUUCAACGUUGCGCAACAGAACUUGUUGUGGACAAGGUCAUACAUCCUCCGAAAGCACCUUAUUUUUGGUGACGAGAUGUGGUCGUUGCUAGUCUCGUCAUCCGAAAGACGAAGACCACCUGAUCUGCCGAUCUCACUAUCUGCAUGAGUAGAGAAGUGCAUUGCAUGCAUGCACAUACAUCAGACGCCAUGCGGCCAAAAAAAUAGAAGAAGUGAAAAGCUGACACAUACAUACGGAUACGACAUGCUUGAAAAUAUAGUAAUCACUUCAUUUUAAAGUGCAACGCUUUCAAAUUUUUAUGCGACAAUUACUCUAGAUGUAUGUAACUUUUAUGAUAUGAAAGCAUACUCGCAAUUAAAUGUUCUGUAAUACGAACCUAGUAACAUCAAAUAUAUACCGGUAAUAGAGUAAUUGUUGGUCAAAAUGUUAUCCUAACUUAUGUAGUGUAUGUUGAAAACGGGUGGAGUACACGUAUUACCAAUUGAGAAAACCAACGCGACCGCGGAGCAUCCAAGGAGCACAAUGAACAAAACCGUCGCUGGCUUGGCUUCCAUCUGGCUAUUGACUUUGCUGAACGCAAUGUUUUGAUCCCUAACCUAUAUGAGAUACUUAGAUGGGUGAUGAACUCAACUGAUGUGCUCAAUCGAGACAGGCCUGCCUAUUUAUAGAUCAAGACACGCCGCACAAAGUAGACUUGGCCUAUUCAUUAAUGACAAAAAUAAAUAAAGAAC
rnacentral:lncRNA from 1 species